AGAGUUUGAUCAUGGCUCAGAAUCAACGCUGGCGGCGUGCCUAACACAUGCAAGUCGAACGAGAAAGUGGUAGCAAUACCAUGAGUAAAGUGGCGCACGGGUGAGUAACACGUGACUAACCUACCUUGGAGUUCGGAAUAACCUCGGGAAACCGGGGCUAAUACCGGAUAACACCUACGGGUCAAAGGAGCAAUUCGCUCUGAGAGGGGGUUGCGGCUGAUUAGCUAGUUGGCAGGGUAAUGGCCUACCAAGGCGACGAUCAGUAUCCGGCCUGAGAGGGCGCACGGACACACUGGAACUGAAACACGGUCCAGACUCCUACGGGAGGCAGCAGUGGGGAAUUUUGCACAAUGGGGGAAACCCUGAUGCAGCAACGCCGCGUGGAGGAUGAAGGUCUUUGGAUUGUAAACUCCUUUCGACCGGGACGAUUAUGACGGUACCGGAGAAGAAGCACCGGCUGACUCUGUGCCAGCAGCCGCGGUA
rnacentral:rRNA from 1 species